GUGCGCGACGGCGUGCGCGAUGACGGCUUCCUGAACGGCACCAGCUGCUCCAAAAGUGGCUCGCCUGCAGCAAUGUCGUCGGACAAGCCGGUGACCGAGGUCCGGUAACGACACCCCUAUCGACGUCGCCCACAUUAGCGGCACGGUCCAGGCCGGCGUGCUCGACGACGGUGCCGUGAUGACGGUGCUCGUCUCAGCAGGCGUUGCUGCUCGGCGGUGCAGGUCAAGGACGGUGAACAAAGCGGAUACGGUGAAUCUUCUUGGGAUGUGGCCGCCGCCGUUGUUGCUGUUACCGCACAGGCUAACGCUAAUUCUUCAUUGCUCCACCUGAUCCUACACCGCUCGCAAGGACUGCUGCUGAUUGCCUGUGCUCAAAAGUUAAAACACAAAUUGAGCUUCCCCCCUCUCCCACCUGAGCUUCCAAUAGCAUCCUCUUCGUCGUGGUGUCAAUGAAGGUUCAACUGAGGACAAUGGUUGAAAGCUACGCAUCUUGCUUGAUUUUAUUUUUGUAUGUCCGAAUAGUAUAUCGUCAUUAAUUUAAGACCAUUGUUAUGAGAUAUUAUUUGAAAUGUUCAUUUGUUCGUCAGCAAGGCGCACAUACUGUGUUCGACGAUGAGAACCCAAUCCCGACUUGUUGUGCAUACCCUGCUUGCAAGAGAGCACCUUUGCAUGUCUAAUUCAUUUCCUGUAAGUUUCUAUGCUAGCAAAGUGGCAAGGUGCAAUCACACUCGGAAGUUGUAUUGGUCAAGUGGAAGAAAAGGAAGUAUCAGGCUCUGAUCCUCACUGCUUAGCUUUUCUAGAGAGGGUCAAAAGAUUUUUUGUUCUGGAACAUUUUUGUAUUUGGUGAAACCUUGGACAGAAGACCCAAUCCUGAGCUUCAUUUUCAGUUUAGCAGUGCCCGUGUGCGGUAAUGUUGCUUCGUUGAAAAGAUAUGGACAGUAGAGGCUAAGGAAAUUUUGCUUUGACAGAACACAAAGAGAAAAGGGGGAUAGAAACAGAAGUUUGCUGGCCUGGUACAGUAUUUAACUUAUUGGUUGGUGCUGUUUUUCUAAACCAGCUUACAUGCAGGGUUUUUUUUUUCUCCUGAAGGAGUUAUAAGUAUGCUAACUUAACAUCAGUGGUGUUGCUGCAAACAUCAUAUUCUCUCCUACAGUUCUUUUUUUUUUGUCUGAUACGUUUAGAAUUACAACUUGACAAUAAGCAUUGUCGAGACAUUUAAACAGCACUUACGGCCGAAUAAAGAAAAGAUGCAGGAAGCCGAAGGGAAGAUGACUUUCCCAGACACAUGAUCACUUGUCUUUACAGAAACGCAGUUUGCCUAUUUGCUUCUUCAGUGUUGGACUUUGUGCGCCUCAGAUGGCUGGUAAUCCGCCCAAUUUUGCUUCAGAUCCAGGUUAGCACUUUAGCGGUUCCUCUCAAUGUUUUGGGGCACUUUUUUUUAUUGACACGACCCAUAGAUGUAGUUUCUGGCCUGUGUUUAUUGCCACAUUUUCUCAAUAUUAGCAUUAUUCCACUAUACUGUUUCUGAUGUGGAUGCAUGACUGAAAAAUACAUAUGGUUGUCGUUAUGGAACUUCGAUAUGUUUCAUGUGGUCAUAAAUUGAAGAAAAUUCCUAUUAUUUUAUC